rnacentral:rRNA from 1 species
GGGUCAGUAGGUUGGUCGUGCCACCGGUACGUACUGGUCUCACUGAUUCCUCCUUCCUGAAGAACCGUAAUGCCAUUAAUUUGGUGUUGCGGGAAAACAGGACUGUUACUUUGAAAAAAUUAGAGUGUUUAAAGCAAGCUAACGCUUGAAUACAUUAGCAUGGAAUAAUGAAAUAGGACGAUCGAUCCUAUUUUAUUGGUUUCUAGGAUUGACGUA